GUAGAAGCAGUGGGGCAGGUGGGAGGCAUGGUGGAUUCCAUGAAGCGGGCGAUCAAUUUAUAGUUAGAGGAGGGGGCCGGGUGCAGAGCACCCCCUCCCCCACCCCCACGCGGAAUCCGCGGCGCCUGCGGUCCUGGGUUGGGAUGUGCGCAGCAGGCGAGUCGGGAGCACCAUCCCCUGAGCGCAACCUGGUGGGCCCCCUGGGGCCGCCCCUUUGGCGCCCGCUAGUGCGGGAGGGGCUAUGCUCCCGGAGGUACGUGGCGCCCCUGCCACCCUGAGAGCUAUUUUCUAUUCCCAGGUGGUCGCGUUAUCCUCAUCCCCCGCCCUGCACCUUCGUCAUCAGCUUUGCCUCUCCCGUGUCCGUGUGUAGCUCCAUCCUCGUGCUCGCCUUCUUCAUUGGCGGAAGCUGGGAGCCGAGAGAGUGAGCCGUGCGCAGAUGUGCGGCGGUGGAGGUGGCUUUUGUUUCUCCUCCGCGCCCCCUCCCCCCCCGCCCCGCACAUUGCCUGUCGCUCUUCCCACCUAGGACCCUCAAACUGGUUCCCCCUGUACACAGAACCUGGCGACCACGGAUCAUCCCCUCUCUCUUCCUUCGAUGCGAUCAUAUAACAUUUAGAUUUUGCCAGGCCCCUUUAAAUCAUUGCUUCUUUGAACCCUCCCAACAAUCCUAAAGGGAAAUACUGUUUAUGAACCCGUUUUACUAAUCUGACAAUUAUAGCAUAAAGUUUAAGUAACUUGCUCAACAUCACGGAAUGGAAAAGUUGUCACUGAUUUGAAUCCAGCCAGCCUCUCAAGAGAAAGUGUCGAUGAUCAAGCCUUCCUUUGGCCCAGGUUACAUGAAGGUCAAAUGACAUGAAGAAUGGGAAAGGAUUUUAUGAGUGUUCAAAUGUUGGGGGAGCGUCUUAUCACAGAGGACUUUCUGCAGGAGGACAUCCACACUCCUCCUGUCACUGGAUCAGCCAGGUUUAGGUCUGGGAUGGAUAGAAAAUGAAAACUGUCCCUUCACCGUGGAGUUUGAGAAGCCCCGUGGAGGAUUCAAGUAAUUUAGGCAUUGGAAUCCACCUCCUGUGGUCACUUUCAAGCCUAAAAUCCGCGGAGGAUCUGAACUUGGGCAGGGAAACCUGAGAAUAAACAUGAGGAAUGGAGAAGUCUCUGUACCACGUUUAAUGAGUGGAGCUGAUCGCGUAUGUCCCCAUCCCCAUAUCAUCCAGCACAGUGCAGGUGCCUUUUACAG
rnacentral:lncRNA from 1 species